AUUGAACGCUGGCGGAAUGCUUUACACAUGCAAGUCGAACGGUAGAGGGGGCAACCCCUCGAGAGUGGCGAACGGGUGAGUAAUAUAUCGGAACGUGCCCAGUCGUGGGGGAUAACGUAGCGAAAGUUACGCUAAUACCGCAUACGAUCUAAGGAUGAAAGCGGGGGAUCGCAAGACCUCGCGCGAUUGGAGCGGCCGAUAUCAGAUUAGGUAGUUGGUGGGGUAAAGGCUCACCAAGCCAACGAUCUGUAGCUGGUCUGAGAGGACGACCAGCCACACUGGAACUGAGACACGGUCCAGACUCCUACGGGAGGCAGCAGUGGGGAAUUUUGGACAAUGGACGCAAGUCUGAUCCAGCCAUUCCGCGUGCAGGAUGAAGGCCCUCGGGUUGUAAACUGCUUUUGUACGGAACGAAAAGGUCUCUCUUAAUACGGGGGGCUCAUGACGGUACCGUAAGAAUAAGCACCGGCUAACUACGUGCCAGCAGCCGCAGUAACAC
rnacentral:rRNA from 1 species